GGGGGUAUAGCUCAAUGGUAGGCAUUCGACUGCAGAUCGAGAGGUUCCCUGUUCGAACCCGGGUGCCUUCU
rnacentral:tRNA from 1 species